UGGCGCAAGCAUUUUUAUUCCUCUCCUCACCACUGUGUGCCUGUUCAUUCCUCUUCUCCCCCCUUUCUCUCUCUAGGGUUUCUCUCUCUCAUCUUGCAUACACUGCGCGCAUUUCUGGAUCCGGGCUGGAUUGGAGGAAUGGAUCCGCGGAACUGAAGCAGGGGAGGGUGAAGUGCGGAACUAGAUCAAGGGAAGAUUCCAGAUGUGGUGGCGAGCCGGCGGGCUGCUGUACCACGAGGUGCAGCAAGGAAGCUCUCCGCCGUGCACUGCGUCAACACCUGCCUGCUGGUGCCCUUCUUCUUCGAGUUUGACCUCGCCGCGCUCGCCACUGACCUCGACCAACCAGAGCACCUCAUCAUCUUGAGGCUCCCAGAGCCCCGGCGCGGCCAACGCUACCGGUGGGGACUUCCUCGCCAAGGGAUCCUGCAACCUCUCUCGGAGGUGAUUUCACCAUCCAGCCCUCGAGCUGUUGGUGCAGCACAGGAUUUUUUGGCUUUCCUGUGGUUGACGACAUGAAGCUGGUUCCAAGCUAUCCAGCAGGGGAGAUCAAGUGCAAAGCAUGAAGAAGAUAUGAAUAUGCAGUACGAACCAGGUCAAGUAAGUAAGUGCAUAUGUAGUGACCAGGGGCCGAAUUCCUAGGGACGAUUUUCGCUUUGCUUUUGCCUUUGCGUUUGCACACAAGCAACUCUUUCUCCCACACAUUUUUCUCCAGUAUAUUUAUUCGCCAUUGCUUGCCGCUUCCUUCGACUAGGAGAAACAUUAGUUCAGGACAACCGUGGGGGCUGGUAUGGUUGGGGAGCUGAAGCCUGAAGCGGACAGUUGAUUGCGAAGUAUCUGCUCCUUGUUACCCCCACCCAAUAAGUGCUAAUCAUUUUUUGCUUUCCUCCAGUGGUUCCUACAGUGUCUCUACUCUUAUUUGCAGGCAACUUAUACUAAAUUAAUAAGCAAAUUAUUCAGAUUAGUUUAGCAUUUUUGUAUUUAAACUUUAGCAUUAACAGUAUGGGGAUCCAUCAGAAUAGGGACGCAUCAAAGUAGGCUACUUAGUGCAUUUAUGCAGGCAAUAAUGUGUUAAGAACAUAGCAAACUCAGUCUAUUGAUCUGGGUAAAUUUUCUGAUUUUUCAGAUAUGCAACUCAAUAUAUGUAUUCAGGCAACAAUAUGUUAACAACUAGGACAAUUCACACCACAUAGUUUUUCCACCGCUACAAGUUCUCUGCAUCCUCGCCUAGUUCAUUGACUAAUUUUGGGGAUGAGGAUUUGCAUGCAGAUUUUUCUCUGAGGACACUCGCGGUCAAAUCCAGUUGAUUUUUGCAUCCAGUAGCUGGGAUUCAUCAUGGGAAUCAGACCAGGUGAGAGAUUCCUCGACGGGAUCUUUUUUUUACUGCAUUUUCUCACACAUUUUUUAAGCAUUUUCACAUUUGUUUCAGCCGUUGUAUGUUGUGAAUUCAAGAUUUCUGGAGAACGUCUUUUGUUGCUAGCAUGAAUGCUGCCUCUUGUUGAGGAAGUGCAUAAAGGUGUACAAUACUGGAUUUGAUGGUGCCAGGGGAUAGAGGAGCAACUAGACGCAUCCAGCACAUCUGAGCAGGCUACUUCUCUUUGCUGUGGAUAGCAACUUGAUGUAUAUAGAAGAUCUGUGGUUUUUGUUUCUGGAGGAUAUGAUUUUUUUUCUGUGGAUCUAUUGUGUUCCUAGAACACUGAAACAAAUUUGCAGAAGAUGGGUACUUGGUCUUGUUUUGGUUUCAUGCAA